CAGCGGUAGAAUUUCACACCACACAGGUUGAAGCUCGCUCUCUAUUAGCGUUCGGAAAUCUCGACUGGUGAAAGUUGGAUAUCGAAGGUGUUAUGGAAUGAUAGAAUCUCCAUCACCUGCAGUAAAGAGAGCUGACCGUGCAACAUCUCCGCCUAACGUUUCACCUGAUCAAUUAUUCAGACUGGCACUAUUGGCCGUAUAUCAGUGGCUGCGGCGUGCUGACAGACUUGAUAUUCGUCACCUUUUCAGUCUGGCUCCUGAAGAAACUGCACUUGUUUUCUCUCUCUCUCUGUCUGUCUCUUUCUCUCUCUCUCUCAGACUUUACCCAUACUGCUCUCUGUCCUUCUAUCUCCAUCUUGUUCUUCUUCUCUUCUUUUAGCAUCAAUAACCCGCUCUGGCCCUGAGUGCUCUUUUGGGAUAACAAAACACUGACAUUGACAACAGUUGAAGAGUUCUGUGAAGACACAACUUAAUGUGGAUCAUGUCGGCAUACUGUAAUCCAGUUCACACACACACACACACACACACACACACACACACACACACACACACACACACACACACACACACACACACACACACACACACACACACAUAUACGCACUCGCAAACUCAUUCAUCUUUUUUUUUAAUGGAGCAGGAAGAAGCCAUGCUCCAUUCAGUUACCAGAAAAAGAAUCUGACACAUACGUUCCCCAAUGCCUAUAAAAAGAGAGUGUGCAUCUGCACUAAGCUUAACUGAGACACAGCCUACGCAAUACACACUCAAUUUUCAACUAGCCUGCUAUUUUCAUUCAGUUAAAUAUAAAUUUGAUGGCAACUUAGAACCUGGAAUAGAUGGAGGAUGUGUGUGUAUAUCAAGCUGAGGAGAGAAAAUGGGGAACAGUCUUUUUUUCCAGCAAGGAUGUUGCCUGCAAACAACAAAUCUCUCCUCCUUUCAGCUGACCCAAGUGUGACGACACAGCAACAGCUGGCUACGUCAGUCCUCGGGUAACAAAGCCUGAUGCUAAAUUCAGCUCCCAGACUUUAUUUCUGUUCCAAACUAAACUUAGAAGGUCUAAAGUUGCUGUGUUUUCAGGAGCCAAACAUAUGACCUUCAGAUGCAUUGUGAGUCUUAAUACAAAUACAAAUCCACA